UCCCUGGUGGCUUAGGUGGUAAAAGUGUCUGCCUAUGAUGCGGGAGACCCGGGUUCGAUCCCUGGGUUGGGAA
rnacentral:tRNA from 1 species